UGCAAGUCGUGCGAGAAAGGGGACUUCGGUCCCUGAGUAGAGCGGCGCACGGGUGAGUAACGCGUGGAUUAUCUACCCGAUUGUUCGGGAUAACGGCGGGAAACUGCCGCUAAUACCGGAUACGCUCCAAUUUCGGUUGGGGGAAAGGCGGCCUCUGCUUGCAAGCUGUCGCAAUUGGAUGAGUCCGCGUCCCAUUAGCUUGUUGGUGGGGUAAUGGCCUACCAAGGCUACGAUGGGUAGCUGGUCUGAGAGGAUGAUCAGCCACACUGGAACUGAAACACGGUCCAGACUCCUACGGGAGGCAGCAGUGGGGAAUAUUGCGCAAUGGGGGAAACCCUGACGCAGCGACGCCGUGUGAGGGAAGAAGGCUUUCGGGUCGUAAACCUCUGUCAGGAAGGAAGAACCUCUCAGGGCUGAACAAGCCCUGGGACUGACGGUACUUCCAGAGGAAGCACCGGCUAACUCCGUGCCAGCAGCCGCGGUAAUACGGAGGGUGCAAGCGUUAAUCGGAAUCACUGGGCGUAAAGCGCGCGUAGGCCGUCUUUUAAGUCGGACGUGAAAGCCCUCGGCUCAACCGGGGAACUGCGUUCGAAACUGGGAGACUUGAGUCCUG
rnacentral:rRNA from 1 species